GAUGAAGAACGCAGCAAAAUGCGAUAAGUAAUGUGAAUUGCAGAAUUCAGUGAAUCAUCGAAUCUUUGAACGCACAUUGCGCCCGCUGGUAUUCUGGCGGGCAUGCCUGUUCGAGCGUCAUUUCAACCCUCAGGUCCCCCUUUUCGGAGGGGGAGACACCCUGGUGUUGGGGGACGGCAUCCUGGCCCGCUGUCUCACAGUGUGCCACGCCGCCCCCGAAAUGAAUUGGCGGCCUCGUCGCGUGCCACCCCUGCGUAGUAGCAUAACCUCGCAACGGGAGCCCGACGCGGCCACUGCCGUAAAACGCCCAACUUUUACCGAGUUGACCUCGAAUCAGGUAGGAAUACCCGCUGAACUUAAGCAUAUCAAUAAGCGGAGGA
rnacentral:misc_RNA from 1 species